UAGUCCGAAAAGGAUUUGAGAAGAGGAAAACAAUACAUACUCUUUUUUAACACAACGGAACAUCAUGUAAGGAGAGGACAACAGCUGGGAUGAGUGGUUAUUCGUCAAAUAACGAUGUCAUCUUGCAAACUUGUGGAUAUCAGGAAGCAUGCGUUAAAAACAGGAACUCAUUGGUUGAGUUUUAGCGGUUGGAGAAGCGAGACAGAAGUUAUUAUUAGUUAUAGUUUAUUUGAAUAGUUUAUGCUUCUGGACUGGACCUGCAGCGAAUCUCAUAACUUAAAAGUGCAACAGGUUGGAAGAUGGUGUCGUGGAUUAUAUCUAGGGCCAUCGUUCUUGUGUUUGGAACGCUGUAUCCUGCGUACUACUCCUUUAAAGCCGUCAAAUCCAAGAAUGUCAAAGAAUAUGUGCGAUGGAUGAUGUACUGGAUUGUGUUUGCUCUUUACACAGUGGUGGAGACCA